UAACCGGGAGUGUUGCUAACACUGGCCCUAGCAAGAGCUGUGCUUCAAUUGCGAGGCUUCUCCCUGACGUGUAGAUGAGCGCACGAGGCUCUAACCGGGAGUGUUGCUAACGCUGGCCCUAGCAAGAGUCGUGCUUCGAUUGCGAGGCUUCUCCCUGACGUGUAGGUGAGCGCACGAGGCUCUAACCGGGAGUGUUGCUAACGCUGGCCCUAGCAAGAGCUGUGCUUCGAUUGCGAGGCUUCUCCCUGACGUGUAGGUGAGCGCACGAGGCUCUAACCGGGAGUGUUGCUAACGCUGGCCCUAGCAAGAGCUGUGCUUCGAUUGCGAGGCUUCUCCCUGACGUGUAGGUGAGCGCACGAGGCUCUAACCGGGAGUGUUGCUAACGCUGGCCCUAGCAAGAGCUGUGCUUCGAUUGCGAGGCUUCUCCCUGACGUGUAGGUGAGCGCACGAGGCUCUAACCGGGAGUGUUGCUAACGCUGACCCUAGCAAGAGCAGUGCUUCGAUUGCGAGGCUUCUCCCUGACGUGUAGGUGAGCGCACGAGGCUCUAACCGGGAGUGUUGCUAACGCUGGCUCUAGCAAGACCUGUGCUUCGAUUGCGAGGCUUCUCCCUGACGUGUAGGUGAGCGCACGAGGCUCUAACCGGCAGCUGUAUCACGUAUUUCGCAGACAAUUAGCAGAAGACAAAUAUUGUGCAAAUAUUGCUGUCAACUGUCCAUUUCGUAUUACGGACUUACAACAAAAAAGCAGAUCGCGGACCAUCACUAGUGCUGCCUCUGCAGAGCGAUUUGUGAAACUUUAGUGCAUUCUUUUCCAUACAACUAACAACAACUGGCCUAAAGUCGGUAUUACGGAUGCUUUUGUCUGCCACACAACAGCAGAUAUUUAGCAAUUUCGUUUGUCAAAUUUGCGACACCUUUUGUAUCUGGUGCUGAAUUGUUGCUAAAUAUCUGCAAGUGUAAAAUUUGUGAAAAUAAAUUAUUUUAACUUGAUUUAGGUAUGUACUUAUGGACAGAGCUCAAAUAAUAAACGGGGCUUUGGAGUCUACGGAAAUUAGGUCGGAUACAUACGAAUCAGUGCGUUUGCGACGCUGUCUUCGCGAUCAAGCCUGACCCCUUAAUCUAUUGGAAAGUUUGUUCAGAACACAUUACAGAAUUUCGAAACAUCAAUAUUUACAAUUGUGCUCUGAAUUAAAGCCGUUAAUAACCUAGAUCAUCAAGACGAACAAGAAUAGAAAGUAAAAUGCAAGAUUUAUUCUUAACUAAAUGUUUUAAAUAACUUGUUUAUACAGGUGUUAACAGCAUUGCAAAAUUUCAUACCAGAAACCUGUGGGAAUGAGUUUUUUGCAUUUUGAGUUAAAUUGUAGUAAAUCCAAUGCCAUUAGGGAAGUGGCUAUGGCAUUAAACAAUCUUCCAGUUUUAUUGAAACAUUUAAAGUUUCUGCAAACAGUACAAUGGGUCACAAGUUAUUAUAAAUGGGUUUUACAAUAAAUUUGGCUUUCCUGGGGUUUCGGGGUGUAUAGAUGGCACUCAUUUGCACUUAUCAGAUCUUCUGUAUAUGAAGAAAGGUUUUAGAACCGCAAGCAUUAUCAUUUCAAGAAUGUGCAAAUAGAACACUGUUGACCAUUGUGAGUAUUGAAAGCCAGUUGGAGAUGCUUGUUGGUACAUAGAGUACUGCAUUAUGAUCAUCAUAUGAUGGCCAAGACCAUAAUUGUUAGCUUGUAUUGCAUAACAUGGCAAACACACAUGGGUUUCCAGUGCCCCAACUCUCUGACGAAGAUGCUGAAAUUGAUGUUUCUUAUCAAAUUCAUAACAUUGUAUUUUUUGGGAGAGAAGAGGAAACACAGCACUUAGCACCAUGUCAACAUUUAAGGGUGGUUCAAUUGGAUUGUGGAGAACAGUCAUUAAAUUUAGUCCAACCUCUAUAUUCUAGUAAUUUUAUGUAGAUAUUUUUAAAACCGCUGUUCUUAAUUAUGUGAACUGAGAGGGCAAGAAUAUCCUAAUUAUUUCUGAUUAUAAUUUUUUUUAUUGUGCUUAGUGGAAAUAUACAUAUUUCCUUAACAUUUUUUUGUUUAUAGUAAAGGAUGGAUUCAUAACUAUUUGAAAUCAAAAUUGUGAGGUUGUUUUAUAUCUGUCGUGCUCAAUUUGUUCUGUAUCAUUUUAUCUUUAUGUUAACCCCGUUUGUAUGUUGUGUUGUUAUAUAUAUUAUUGUAUAUACUGCUGUUUUAAAUAAUAGAAUAGAAUGAAUAACAAUUCGACUAGUAAUUCAUAAUUCUUCUAGAUUUUGUUGGAUACUUACAUGAAUAUUACUUACAAAAUUAAAAACAUAAUUCAUAAUUUAGACAAAAUGUGGAUCAACCACCACUGAUUUUUGUUCAUUGUGAUAAUAAUAAUAAUAUAAAUAUAAAUAUUUAACUGGUCCUGUGAUAAGUUCAUAAAGAACUUGUGUUAGAGGUACCAGAUAACGGAAAUAAAUGUAGGAUUUUUAUUAUACACAUACAUAUAUUUAAUAUACAUCCAUAACCCUGGAAAAGACAUUUAUAUUAAAUUUAUCAUACAAAUAUCUUCCCUUGGCGGGAUUCGAACCCGCGACCCCCUUGUGUAGCGACCAUGUCACCACUACACCAGACGGCCGUUAGAUAAGUUUGAUAAUUAUUAUUUUUGUGUAAUUUUGUUUUAUUUGAAUAAUAAUUCUUAAAUGAGGAAAU